GACGCACGCUGGCGGCGUGCUUAACACAUGCAAGUCGAACGAAGUGGCGAACGGGGGAGUAAUACGAGGGUAACCUGCCCUCCUUUUUGGGAUAAGCCUUGGCAACGGGGUCUAAUACCGACUAAAGGGGGAGGGGGUCGGGGCCUAUCAGCUUGUUGGUGUGGUGAGGGCCUACCAAGGCGGUGACGGGGAGCAGGCCUGAGAGGGUGACCGGUCACAGUGGGGUGGAGAUACGGCCCAGACUCCUACUGGAGGCAGCAGUGGGGGAGAUUGCAGAAUGGGCGCAAGCAGGAUGCAGCGACGCCGCGUGGGGGAUGAAGGCUUUCGGGUUGUAAACCUCUUGCGCGAUCUAACGGGGAGGUGGAGAAGAAGCGCCGGCUAACUACGUGCCAGCAGCCGCGGUAAUAC
rnacentral:rRNA from 1 species